AACAAUUGGUCAAUAAUGGAGUUAUGGCCACUUUUUACAUAAAAAUACAUGUUUAUAAUAUUGGUAUUUUAACUGCUUUUUGGAUUUGAUUGAACCUUUAUUUAAGUGUAUCAUGUAUGAAUCUAAAGCAGUAGUUGUUUACAGAAUUUGGCGUUGCAAGCAUGUGGCGUGUGGUAUCAAUUUAACAAAUGUGCUUGUUUGUUUAUAUUUUUAUUAGGGAUGGCAACGAAUACCGAUUUCGGUAUUCGAAUAUUUGGUCAUCCUUCCGAACGAAUAUUCGGAUAUUCGGUCAACAUCUGUUGAAAAAAAGUCAACUUUGUUUACCGUACCAUUACUCCAUGAAUUCUACUUUACAAAACAAAAAUAAAUUGUACUUAUUUACAGUAUAACAUUAUUAGGGGCGAAGAUUUCCGACCAGAGUUCCGACAAAUUGGGGAACUGCGCAGCCUGACAGAACUGAUGUACCCUUGCUUGCAGUUACUGCUACAGAAACAGAGAAGGUACAGCAGAAUAUACACCAAGGUCUGCUGUUGUCCGACGAUGCGUUAUCCGUCGGCGUAUUACCCGACAGACCGAAUAUUCGACUGGCGGUUAGAAAUCGACUGAUCACGCUGAGGAAGAGCUGGUGUGGUUGCUGCAACAGUUUCAGACAACACCCACACUGGUCAAGACUAUAAUAUUCUGCAAGUCGUACAGGUGUGUAUAUCAAGUGUGGUCAUGGUUGGUUAUUCAACUCGGUGACACGUCUUACGACGGGGAGCACCGUAGCUACAACCGCGUUGUUGAAAUAUUUACAUCUUCAACAACGGACGCCACGAAGGAGAGGAUUUCUAAAUGAUUUCCGGGCCGGAAGAGUUAGCGUUGUUGUGGCAACAGUCGCCUUUGGGCUUGGAAUCGACAUUCCGGACGUGUGGCUCGUGGUCCACUGGGGCGCACCGCGCUCUAUCCUGUCUUACUGGCAGAGCCGGUAGCGAUGGAGAUCCCGCUCUUGCUCUAGUUUUCGCGUACCCGCGGUCCAUAACGGAUUGCCAUGACGCUAUGAAGACCAUGGUGAAUGGGACGGAAUGCGUCAGACGUACCGUUCUGAAGGAGCUAAGAACUAAAGACAUGAAUCCUAUUCCUGCCCAAGGCGACGGUUGUCAAGAUGACACAUGUGAAGUGUGUGUUUGCCAGUUGUGUAUUUGUUGUAACAGAUGCUCACGAAGCUGUACAUGUUUUGGAGCGUGUCCGGACAAACUAUUAUGAAGUUUUCUUUAUGUUGAUUGUUUUGUGACCAUUAUCAUGGGUUUAGCAUUAUUUCGAUUGAUUUUUUCUAGUAAAUGUAUGUCUAUAACUAACACUUACACUGAAUAGUACUAGUAGUGCUUAUUUCACUGUUUACUGGCAGGUAGUAACAUUUGUGCAUGACAUUGUUGAUAUUUAUAAUUAUAAUUGCCAAAGUACUUUGUCAUUGGGGAUACACAGCGUUGGGACAAGAACCAAUUAAUAUGGUAGCAUAUUUUUCAUUUGACGUGUUAGACUUGUUUCAAUGUUCAAUGUAGAUGUAUUCAUUUUAACAUGCUAUUUUCAUUGAUGAAGUAAAGUUUUCUAAUGUU